ensembl:lncRNA
AACGCAUACACCUGUGUGUGCGUCUCCCGGAGAUGGUGACGUAGCGCGCUGCGGUAGGCGAGACGGCAGGGAGCCACAGGCUGAGGACAUGACAAUGGCGGCGGACGCUCGCCUCGCCUGAGCUGAGGAAAGAAAGCGGGAGCUGCGUGACAAACUCCUCAGCCCGGCUGACUCCAGAAAGGAAACCAUGAAUCCAGAAGAAGUAAGACAACACCUAAAUGACAGCACAUCCAAUGACAAGUUGUACUCCACGCUCCCAAAGUCACGCGACAUCUUAGCCGCAACUCUAUCGCAACGAUUGAUGGGCUGUGAAGAAAACUGUGGGAUGAAAUAUGUGGG